GGGCCUAUAGCUCAGCUGGUUAGAGCACACGCCUGAUAAGCGUGAGGUCGAUGGUUCGAGUCCAUUUAGGCCCA
rnacentral:tRNA from 3 species